rnacentral:lncRNA from 1 species
CCCACCACCGCCGUCACCAUCUCCACCACCUCCAUACUACUACAAAUCACCACCACCACCCGUGAAAUCUCCAACUCCAACUCCUUACUACUACAAGUCUCCACCCCCACCGUCACCAUCUCCUCCCCCACCAUACUACUACAAAUCACCACCACCACCCGUGCAUUCACCUCCACCACCUUACUACUACAAAUCACCACCCCCGCCAGUGCACUCACCUCCACCACCCUACUACUACAAAUCACCACCACCUCCUUCGCCAUCUCCUCCACCACCAUAUUACUACAAGUCCCCACCUCCACCAAGUCCAUCCCCUCCACCUCCAUACCAUUACUCAUCACCUCCACCACCUGUGAAAUCCCCACCACCUCCAUAUCAUUAUUCCUCACCCCCACCACCUGUCAAAUCCCCGCCACCUCCAUAUCAUUAUUCGUCACCCCCACCACCAGUGAAAUCCCCGCCACCUCCAUAUCAUUAUUCGUCACCCCCACCACCAGUGAAAUCCCCGCCACCUCCAUAUCAUUAUUCGUCACCCCCACCACCAGUGAAAUCCCCGCCACCACCAUAUCAUUAUUCAUCACCACCACCCCCCGUCAAAUCCCCACCACCUCCUUACCAUUACUCUUCACCACCACCACCAGUAAAAUCUCCACCACCUCCAUAUCAUUAUUCAUCACCUCCACCACCAGUGAAAUCCCCACCACCUCCAUACCACUAUACGUCACCACCACCUCCAGUAAAAUCACCACCACCCCCAUAUCAUUAUUCAUCACCUCCACCACCCGUGAAGUCCCCACCACCACCAUACCACUAUUCUUCACCACCACCACCAGUAAAAUCCCCACCUCCUCCAUACCAUUACUCAUCACCUCCCCCACCUGUGAAAUCACCACCCCCUCCAUACCACUACUCUUCACCACCACCACCAGUCAAAUCCCCACCUCCUCCAUACCACUACUCUUCACCUCCACCACCGGUGAAAUCUCCACCUCCCCCAUACCACUACUCAUCUCCACCACCGCCAGUGAAAUCACCUCCACCACCGUACCACUACUCAUCUCCACCACCUCCCGUGAAAUCCCCACCUCCACCGUACCACUACUCAUCACCUCCACCACCCGUAAAAUCACCACCUCCUCCAUACCACUACUCAUCACCACCACCGCCAGUGAAGUCACCUCCUCCCCCAUACCACUACUCAUCACCACCACCACCAGAAAAAUCACCACCCCCACCAUACCACUACUCAUCUCCCCCACCCCCAGAGAAAUCUCCGCCCCCACCUUACCAUUACUCAUCCCCUCCACCACCCGUAAAAUCCCCACCUCCCCCAUACCACUACUCAUCCCCACCACCACCCGUGAAGUCUCCACCUCCCCCGUAUCACUAUUCCUCACCCCCACCGCCAGUGAAAUCACCUCCUCCCCCAUACGUCUAUUCAUCACCACCCCCACCUGUUGCAUCACCACCCCCACCAGUUUACAUUUAUGCUUCACCACCACCACCCACUCACUAUUAAGGUCCGACCGCUCAGCUAGUUCCAUCCAACAUUCAAGUAAGUUAACUCUUUUACUACAUGAACUACUAUUAGCUUGUUAUUCUCAUAAUAUUUCAAAUCUCACUAACAUGUUCAUAUUCAUAUACUAAUCCCUUCUUCUGUUAAUUUACAGCUGCCAGCUUAAAACAGCAUAGAAUACAACAAAAUAAAAUCCCAGAACCAGAUCAUCAAGUUAAUAAGGUCGUCAACCGUGCAUUACAAAGCUUUAACCUUUUUGACACGGACCAAUUUGCAUUUACAUCAUUAGUGACACUCUUACAUUUGGGAGUUGUUUCAACUACAAAGGGUAUUUUCUAUAGAGGUUUUCCUUAUCUGGUUAAGUGAAAUUAGUAAGUGAGAUGCCUGGCAGAAGUUUGUAUGGUGUGGAACAAGGCUUUCCUGUGUAUUCUUUGUUCAUUUCAAGAGUGUUUAUUUCAUGUAAUUUAUCUGUAACAAUAUUAAUCUUUCAUUUACUUCAAAUUUAGUAAUUGCUGUGCUUUCUUUAUUGGGUUAAUUAUCUAGUUGGUCACUGAAAUGGGUUUAAUGUAUCAAGUUGGUCA